rnacentral:rRNA from 1 species
ACGGGAGUGGCAAGCGUUAUCCGGAAUUAUUGGGCGUAAAGCGUCCGCAGGCGGUCUUGUAAGUCUGUCGUUAAAGCGUGGAGCUUAACUCCAUUUCAGCGAUGGAAACUGCAAGACUAGAGUGUGGUAGGGGCAGAGGGAAUUCCCGGUGUAGCGGUGAAAUGCGUAGAUAUCGGGAAGAACACCAGUGGCGAAGGCGCUCUGCUGGGCCAUAACUGACGCUCAUGGACGAAAGCCAGGGGAGCGAAAGGGAUUAGAUACCCCUGUAGUCCUGGCCGUAAACGAUGAACACUAGGUGUCGGGGGAAUCGACCCCCUCGGUGUCGUAGCCAACGCGUUAAGUGUUCCGCCUGGGGAGUACGCACGCAAGUGUG